AACUAAUACAAAUUAUCACAUAUUUGUUAUGAAUACCUUAGGUUUUGCAUAUGCAAUAACCUCAAAAUUGCCCGGGGCAAAAAAGAGAUAUCCAUAUUGUGCCCUGUACCUAAUGACGUGACGUCAUUGCAUCCUGAACGACACGUUUUUAAUAAAUUGUUUAAGAUUUUACCUUUUAUGUAUCAUUAAAUUGUUAUAAUUGAACUUUUUUCUCUUUUCUGUAGAACUUAAACAUGUGAUAAAAAGAUUAUAACAUGUCUUUUCCAUAUUGGCCCGGGUAUCAUCCCUCGACCCAUAUCGGCCCUCGGCUAAAGCCUCGAUGCCGAUAUGGGAGUCUCGGGAUGAUACCAGGGCC
rnacentral:lncRNA from 1 species